AAAGAAAGAGGAAGCCUGCCAUGCGCAUCCUUCUCGUAAACCCACCUCAUCCUUCUAUCGGCAGCCGCAUACCCCGGGAGCACCUGCCACCUCUGGGCUUGCUAUCUGUGGGCGGCCCACUUCUUGAUGCAGGUCAUGAGGUCCAGCUUCUCGACGCGGAAUUUGGUCCGUUAUCCGUCCAGCAAAUUGUGGAUCAAGUGGCAUCCUUUGCGCCAGAAGCCGUCCUUAUCGGCCAUUCCGGCUCGACUU
rnacentral:misc_RNA from 1 species